rnacentral:lncRNA from 1 species
ACAGGUGACACUGGUGGCACUGCGGGGCAGGGCAGUCCUGGGGGCCGGGGGGGCCCCCGUGUCCGGCUGUGUCCCUCUGUCCGGCUGUGUCCCUCUGUCCAGCUCUGUCCUGGUGUCCAGCUCUGUCCCCGUGUCCGGCUGUGUCCUGGUGUCCAGCUGUGUUCCUCCAUCCAGCUCUGUCCCUCCAUCCAGCUGUGUCCCUCUGUCCAGCUGUGUCCUGGUGUCCAGCUGUGUCCCUCUGUCCAGCUGUGUCCCUCUGUCCAGGUGUGUCCCUCUGUCCAGCUGUGUCCCCCUGUCCAGCUGUGUCCUGGUGCCUCUGUUGGUCCCAUUAUCCCGCUCCAUCCCAUUGUCCAGGGCUGGGGGGUCUGUCCCCGUUCCCAGCCCUGUCCUGGUGUCCUGCUGUCCCUCAUUAUCCAUGUCCAUCCCAUUAUCCCUGUGUUCCAGGGCCGGCAGGUCCAUCCCAGUUCCCAGCCGUGUCCGGGUGUCCUUGUCCAUCCUGUUAUCCCUCUCCAUCCCGUUAUCCCUGUGUUCCAGGGCCGGCAGGUCCGUCCCAGUUCCCAGCCGUGUCCGGGUGUCCCGGUUGGUCCCAGUACCCCCCGUUAUCCCAUUAUCCCUGUGUUCCAGGGCCGGCAGCUCUGUCCCGUUAUCCAGCCGUGUCCGGGUGUCCUUGUCCGUCCCGUUAUCCCUCUCCAUCCCAUGAUCCACGUUUUCCAGGGCCGGCAGGUCCGUCCCAGUUCCCAGUCGUGUCCAGGUGUCCCUGUCCAUCCUGUUAUCCCUGUCCAUCCCGCUCUCCAGGUCCAUCCCGUUAUCCAGCCGUGUCCAGGUGUCCUUGUCCAUCCUGGUGUCCCUGUCCAUCCUGGUGUCCCUGUCCAUCCUGUUAUCCACGUGUUCCAGGUCAGUCCCCGUUCCCAGCCGUGUCAGGGUGUCCCUGUCCAUCCUGGUGUCCCUGUCCAUCUGGGUGUCCCUGUCCCCCCCGGUGUCCCUGUCCAUCCUGGUGUCCCUGUCCAUCCUGGUGUCCCUGUCCAUCCUGUUAUCCAUGUGUUCCAGGUCAGUCCCCGUUCCCAGCCGUGUCGGGGUGUCCCUGUCCAUCCCGGUGUCCCUGUCCAUCCUGGUGUCCCUGUCCCCCCCGGUGUCCCCGUCCAUCCUGUCAUCCGUGCCCUGCCGGGCGGGCAGCCAGGCCAGCCGUGCCCGGUGGGUGCUCAGCACCAGCAGCCGCGCCGCCGCCGCCAGC